rnacentral:lncRNA from 1 species
AGUAUUAUUAGCGUUCGGCAGGACUUGAGGAGAUUCCUAUGAGGAAUACCGAUCGUAGUGAGAUAAACAAAUAAGCGCAGUCACCGCCCUAAAUACCGGCGCUAGCGGAAAACUCGUACAUUCCGCGAUCUAACUGCACGUACAUUCCGCGAUCUCACUGCGCCGUCCAGACUGUGCCCUAAUGUCUAUCACUUAGCUACCGGAUAUGCAUCGGUAGCCCAUAAGGUUCUGGGGUAAGUCUUCCCCAUUAGUCAGACGCAGACCCGGGGUCAAAUCCCCUGGUCGACAACCAAACGAGUUGGGAGAGGACCGUUUCCUCAACACGCCCCCUCGGGCCAUAUCCCAACGAGUUCCAAGUUCAAGCACACUUCACACAAGGCCCAUAGCAUCUCGGCAACGUUUGAAUUUCACCUCACCUAGAGCCUUUGUGAGCACAUCCGCAACCAUCCACUCCGUAGGGCAGUAUUCCAAC